rnacentral:rRNA from 1 species
GACGAAGGAUGCAAGCGUUAUCCGGAUUCAUUGGGUUUAAAGGGAGCGUAGGCGGAUUGGUAAGUCAGUGGUGAAAUCUGUGGGCUUAACCCACAAACUGCCAUUGAUACUGCUGAUCUAGAGUACAGUUGCCGUUGGCGGAAUAUGACAUGUAGUGGUGAAAUACUUAGAUAUGUCAUAGAACACCGAUUGCGAAGGCAGCUAACGAAACUGUAACUGACGCUGAGGCUCGAAAGUGCGGGGAUCAAACAGG